rnacentral:lncRNA from 1 species
ACAAAGCUUCUUGGCUAUAUAUUAAAAUUGGUCAAUAGGAAGAAUGGGAGAUCAGUGGGCUGGGCACAGUGGCUCACGCCUGUAAUCCCAGCACUUUAGGAGGCCAAGGCAGGCAGAUUGCUUGAGAUCAGGAGUUUGAGACCAGCCUGGCCAACAUGGUGAAACCCCAUUUCUACAAAAAAAAUGCAAAAAUUAGUCAGGCGUGGUGGCGGACAUCUGCAGUCCCUGCUAUUUGGGAGGCUGAGGCAUAAGAAUAGCUUGAACCCAGGAAGCAGAGGUUGUAGUGAGCUGAGAUUGCACCGCUGCACACCAGCCUGGGUGACAGAGUGACGCUCUGUCAAAAAAAAAAAAAAAAAAAGAGAGAGAGAGAGACAGAGAAAGAGAAAAAAGAGAAAGAAAAAGAGAAGAAAAAGGAGAUCUGGAAAUUUCUUCCGGUAUACUGUAUAGAAACUAAGGUGUCAUCACUUUGCCAUUACAGAUCAUCACUGACUUCAUAAUGGUGUUAUUGUUUUACCACUGAGGAAACUGAGGCUUACAUUCUCUCAGUAUUCUAAGCCUUACUUUACUCAGUUUUACGAUAGAGUAGCAAACUAAUAACCUCUAAAAUCCUUUCUAGUUUUGAUUUCUUUGGAUUAGCUUCUCAAGGAUACUUUCCAAUCACUUCAAGCAGCAGUGCUGUGUCUCAGGCUGAUAUUCACUCUUCUUUAUGAUCACCAAGCACCUCACCAAAGGCAGAGGAAAUGCUGACUUUACAUUGACACAGACUUCAGAGAAACUUGACUGUUUAGUCAACAGGUUUGCCAUAAUGUGCACAGACCAAUAUUAGCAGCAAAAUAAGAAAAAAAGGAAAUGUUAAAUAAUUUAUUAUUUUAUAUUUUUGACUGCUAUUCUAUGUCAUCUUCCUGGUAAACUAAAUAUUUCUUAUUUUAUUAUUCUUUUCAUGAUGGAAAAGGUACCCAUCUUGGCUUGUGUUAAAAAAAAAUGGUUCACAUGAUUUUGAAGUUUGAAGGUAAAUCUAGCAUCAGGCAUGAUUUUGUCUAGAGGUCAAAAAGAUAAUGUCCGAGUUUCUUCUCUUCAUUUCUUUAGCCUCAGUCUUUUUUAGUGUGUUUGACUCAUUCUUUAUAACUGCAUAUGAUAUCCUACAAGUGGCUGACUGCGGCCACAGAGGUGUUGGUGCUAUUUCUGGGCCAAGGUGUGUAUUGGAUGUGGUCCCACCACACUCCUUGCUCUCUUGCCCCUCCCUCUGCCUGGGUGAAGCUAAUAGAGAAGCCCUGAGGGAUGGUGAUACCACAAGCCGUCAAGAAACUCAGUUACUCAGUCAUCAAUGGAGGAAAACUUCAGGCUGACUAGCAACGCCUGCUUGAACGAUUAAGACAGCAGGAGGCCGGGUGUGGUGGCUCAUGCCUAUAAUCCCAGCAUGUUGGGAGGCCGAGGUGAGUGGAUCACCUGACAUCAGGAGUUCAAGACCAGCCUGACCAACAAGAUGACAAUUGAAUUGAAUUCACUAAAGCUGGUUUGAACAAAGACAUCCUUAACCCUGGCUGCACACUAGAAUAAUUUGAGGAGCUUUAGAAGCCACAGAUACCUGGAGUCCCACGCCAGAGUUGACGUAAGUGGAUGAAGUCACAGUCUAGACAUUGAAUUUUUAAAAUAUUCCUAAGUGAUCUGAAUGUGCAACCAGUGUUCAGAAACAUUGGUUUAGGCCAGCGGUUCUCAAAAUGUGAUUCUGCCAUCAGCAUCUUGAGCAUUACCUGGAAACUGAUUAGAAAUGCAAAGUCUCUGACUCCAGAACUGCUGAAUCAAAUAUCCAAAUAUGGUUGCUCAUCACAGUUAUCUGGGGAGAAUUUUGAAAAUAGGUACUCCUCAUCUUCACCAUCAGUUCCAGUUUCUGAUACAGAAAAUGUGGGCAAGGUCAGGAAAUGCCAUUCUUCUCCUCCACCUGCUUCUUCUUCCUCAAGAAUUCUAAAGAUUUGACAGUUAUGGGAGCCAUGUUGAAAAUAUAUAUUUUGAAAAGAGUUGUAAUUGAGGAAAUCUGAAUUUCAGUCCCGCCACUGUAGGUAACUGACCAAGAGACCUUGGACCAGGCACUUCUCCUGCCUCCCUUGAAUCAAAGCUUCUAUAUCAACCACUGCUGACUCCCACACUUCCAGGGAAGUUCCAAUGAACUUGAAUGAUGUUUGAAGCUUCAGAGCUCUAUGUAAAUGUGAAGUAUUGCUAUCAAGACAUCUUAGAAUGAAAGAUAAUAUUUUCUUCUUUACUUUUACUCCUUAGAAGACUAUUACCUACUAGUAUGUCCCUUUUAUUUCUUAUUUAAUAAAAAACCUACAGAAAGAUAAAUUGGACUCAGCUAUCUUCAUUUCCAUAAUUACUUACAGCUAAGCUUGGUCCUAGGAAGCUCAUAUUGUAACAAUGCCUCUCAGUCUUUU